UAUGGCAGAAUAGUGCAAUGAAUUUAAGCUUCAUAUAUAAAGAAUCAUCUUUUAUUAGAAUAAU
rnacentral:tRNA from 1 species